rnacentral:tRNA from 11 species
CGUGGCCCACUGGUUAAGGCGCCAAGCUAUUAACCUGGUGGUCGUCGGUUCGAGCCCA